CCCUUAGAUGCCCGGGGCUGCACGCGCGCUACACUGAAGGAAUCAGCGUGCUAAAACCAUUGUCGAAAGGCAUUGGUAAACCCAUUAAAAUCCUACGUGAUUGGGAUCGGGAAUUGCAAUUAUUUCCCUUGAACGAGGAAUUCCCAGUAAGUGUGGGUCAUAAGCUCGCGUUGAUUACGUCCCUGCCCUUUGUACACACCGCCCGUCGCUGCCCGGGACUGAGCCGUUUCGAGAAAAGCGGGGACUGCUGCUGUCGGGGCUUUCGGGCCUUGGCUUCGGUGGAAACCGCUUUAAUCGCANUNGCUUGANCCGGGCAAAANUCGUANCA
rnacentral:rRNA from 1 species